AUCCAUUUAUCGGAGAGUUUGAUCCUGGCUCAGGACGAACGCUGGCGGCGUGCCUAAUACAUGCAAGU
rnacentral:rRNA from 2 species